CGCCCAGAAAUUUUUCACCCCAAUUUAUUCGAGAUUAUUCCGGAAUAUUCUUAGCACAUUCGAAAAGAUCAACCAUUAAAAUUAUUCCAAGAGUAUUCUAAGAAUAACAUAAAAAUAUUCUUUGAACAUACUUAAAGAAUGAACUUUUGGAAUAUCCUGGGAAUAUUCUUGGAAUAAUUCAAAUUGGAUAAAGUUUUAAAUUUUUGUCAAAUGUGCCUAGCAUAUUCCAAGAACAUUCCCAAGAAUAAAUCUUGAAAUUAUUCCAAGAAUAUUCCAAAAGUGGAAGUGAACUUAGAAAAUUUUAAAAAUUAUUUUUUCCAAUGUCAAAAUUUAAGAAAAUUAAGCGGAAAUGUAUUAUGGCCAUAAAUAUAAUAAAUGAUAAAAUUAUUUUCUUAACAUUUUGCUAAUUUCAAAGAAUUAGUUAAUUCAAAAUUUUUUUUAAAUUCAUGCGACAAAGUUUUCACAGUGAGAAGUAAAAUUAUUUGGUUCCGAUAGUCAAUUAUUCCACAUUAGGUAUUAUUUUCAAUUAUUUUAUUGAAGCGCUUAAGAGAGCGUGGGAAAGUGGAAAAAGAAAGCUAAUGGAAUGCGAGGGGGAGGCGGGAGAGUAUAGUCAGCGUAAGCAGCGGCGGGCAAGCAAGCAGCGGCAGCACAAGGAGGGGGGAGGGAGUAGGCGGGCAGGCAAGCACCAAGCAGACUUCUGUCCUGCUUCGCUAUCAGGACCCUCUCCCUAAUUCCAGAAGCUUCCAUAUUCUCCAGCAGAAGCCAGAAAAUUCGCAUUAGGCUAUUAGCAUUACGUCAGCCGCGUCCCAACCGUCAACCGUCAACCGCGGCAGUGUUAGUUAAGUCAUUUAGUCAAUAAAUUUGAGCAGUUUGGCCAGUUUAUAUUGUGUGCAGUGCAGAAGAUAUGGCCUCGACUUCAAGAACUUCCAUACGCAGAAGCGGUCUUGACUUUCUGCUCCUCUACCUCUAUAUCUUAAAUUAAAGUGUGACGACCGGAGAUGUGGCUGCACCUCUACCGAAGACGAAGAGGGUUCGGUUAAUCUUGCAGCAGAGCAGAAUAAUGGCAUGCAGUGGUCCGAAGGAUACGUUUAGUCUAAUAAUAAUGACGAUAAGAUGCUGCAGCCUGUUCUGGUAGGAGGAACCUAAAGAAUUGGGAGACCAGCCGCAUUAGAGUAUCGGACACAAAGAAGACCUCAACGUGAAGAACAAGGCUGUCACCCUCAUCAUUGACUCUAAAAGCCACAAGAUGUGAAGUUUAGUGAGUGCGACGCUAGUGUAUGUGUUCUAGUUAACAGUUUUGAUCUAAAAUCCCGCAUUGGAUUUUGAGGUUUAUCCUUUCAUAGUAUGUACGCCCACUGAUUAAGUUUUUUUGCGUAUAUCAAAAUUUUACUAAUUGUUUUCUAUGAAAUUUUUAUCAGAACAGCUCUUUUUGGUUAAAUAUUGUGGGGCCAUUAUAUCCCUGUGGAUGAAAUAAGUCAUGUCUCUUUAAAAUUCUUUUUGUGUAAUUUGAAAUUGAUUGUCAAUUCACCAGUUGCAUAACUAAGCCGCCUUUGUUCUCGAAGCCGCUAAUAAAUGGUUCCGCCGUACACUUCGGUAUUAAAUUUUAAUAUAAGGCACUUCCGCUGCGACUUCAGACUCAAUCCUGCUGCUGUGCUUUCCCCUAUUACAAUUCUUCACUUAAUAUGCUUUCUGUAGACUUGUUAAAAUCCAACAUCGGUUAAUACAUUUGCUGUAGAAAUGUUGGAUACGAUUUUUUAUUUCAAACAAUAGUUUUAACGAUUCUACAGCGAUUGGCUGACCUGAUUUUGGUUUUCGACACGCCCAAAGAAAGCAUUUUGAGUGAAGAAUGCACAUCAGCAGCAGGAUAUGGUCUGAAGUCUCAGCAGAAGUGCCCUAAAAUAAAAUUUAAUACUGAAGUAUACGGUGGCCGGUGUGCCACCAAUUGUUGGCGGAUUUGAGCACUAUAAAGGCUUAUACAAUUGGUUUAUUCUGAAAUUUCUUCCAAGUUCUAACACUUUUGGAAGAUUUUUAGAAUAAUUAUCAAAUUUGUUCUCUGAAAGGUUCCUGAAAUAUUCAUUGCUCAAUUUACACAAAUACAAAUUAUCCUUAAGGUAAAAAUCUUCCAAAAUACCAUUAAAGUUUGUUCGAAGAAUUAUUUUAGGAUAUUAUUAAAGGUCAAUCUGUUCAAAAUGUUCUAAGAAUAGUCCAGAAAUAAUCUGUCCAAAAUUGUAAUUUGAAUUUCCAGGCGGGGAGUUUUCUAAUCUGUGUAGCCUAAUGCAAAUUGUUGUGUAUGCAGUGUAUUUACCUCUUUCUAUGUCCGUAUGUAAUUUUUUUAUCGAAAAUCAAUAAAACUCAAUUGAGAUUAUGUAACAAGAUAAUUGUGUUAUUAAAUUAAA